ACCAAGGCGACGAUGCGUAGCCGACCUGAGAGGGUGAUCGGCCACACUGGGACUGAAACACGGCCCAAACUCCUACGGGAGGCAGCAGUAGGGAAUCUUCCACAAUGGACGAAAGUCUGAUGGAGCAAUGCCGCGUGAGUGAAGAAGGUUUUCGGAUCGUAAAACUCUGUUGUGAGGGAAGAACAAGUACGAAAGUAACUGCUCGUACCUUGACGGUACCUCAUUAAAAAGCCACGGCUAACUACGUGCCAGCAGCCGCGGUAAUACGUAAGUGGCAAGCGUUGUCCGGAAUUAUUGGGCGUAAAGCGCGCGCAGGCGGUCCUUUAAGUCUGAUGUGAAAGCCCACGGCUCAACCGUGGAAGGUCAUUGGAAACUGGGGGACUUGAGUGCAGAAGAAGAAAGUGGAAUUCCAAGUGUAGCGGUGAAAUGCGUAGAGAUUUGGAGGAACACCAGUGGCGAAGGCGACUUUCUGGUCUGUAACUGACGCUGAGGCGCGAAAGCGUGGGGAGCAAACAGGAUUAGAUACCCUGGUAGUCCACGCCGUAAACGAUGAGUGCUAAGUGUUACG
rnacentral:rRNA from 1 species